UACGAAGGGGGCUAGCGUUGCUCGGAAUCACUGGGCGUAAAGGGUGCGUAGGCGGCUGUACAAGUCAAAGGUGAAAUCCCUCGGCUCAACUGAGGAACUGCCUUUGAAACUGUACGGCUUGAGGCCGGGAGGGGGUAGCGGAAUUCCCAGUGUAGCGGUGAAAUGCGUAGAUAUUGGGAGGAACACCAGUGGCGAAGGCGGCUACCUGGACCGGUUCUGACGCUGAGGCGCGAAAGCAUGGGUAGCAAACAGG
rnacentral:rRNA from 1 species